UAUUAAUACUAUUGAUAAGUGAGGUGUACUU
rnacentral:piRNA from 1 species